UCCCAGCGGUCCAAGUCGCAGCCACAUUUGUUGGGUCUAAAACAUCCGUAGCUUGCCUUUCAAGUCCUAUGUGAAAUCGGGCAUCUCAAGUGUCCGGCGUGCAUAAGAUACUGUUUGGCUAGAGACCGGGAGGCGUAAAAAGUAUUUUAGGGGUAGCGGUUAAAUGCGUUGAUCCUUAAGAGACUAUCAGUCGCGAAGGCGUUUUACGAGAACGGAUCUGACAGUGAGGGAUGAAGGCUAGGGGCGCAAAGUG
rnacentral:rRNA from 1 species